GAUGUUUCCUCCCUUAAGCCGGCAGACCAGGGUAGAUACUGCCCUUCAGGAGAGAGGAAACAAUUCUACAGUGCCUCUGUGGUCAAUCUUGGCUGUUCAACCGUUGCAGUGACACUCAGUGUGCCUACAGGCACUCAGUGUGCAUACAGCAGAAGCCUGGGAGUGUCCCCGUAGACUGACUCUUGGCAGCAUGCCAUACUCUGCCAAACAAGAUGUGAAAGAUAUUGGUGCUAAAGUGAUGUGAACUGUGAAGACCUGGCCCAAGAGGUUUCAAUGGGGAAGAAUUUCAGGAAGAACCUAGAGAUUGUUCUUUCGAUAUUUUGGUGGAGAAUGUGGCUGCUUUCUGCCCUGUCUGAAGAGUCUAAGGUAAAGAGAUUUAUAUUAAUUAAAUUUAUAUUAAUUUAUAUUAAUUGCAUUAACAAAGGAAGUCUCAAAAAGCCCAGGAGACUCUUUAUUCUCUGGUUAAGUAUCAUGAAGAGCAUUUUGAUCGAGCAUAGCAAGCUUAGAAAGGAAAAAUGUAAAAUGUAUGAUUCAAAUAAUAAUAAAGGGGCACAGGAGGUAACAUAGAGCUGAAUCCUGUGUUCAAGAAGACAAACAGAUUAAGAGAGUGGUGACCUCAGGGCAAGAUUCCAUCCAGCUGAGAUUAUUGUUUACUUUUUUGCCAUUGAACAG
rnacentral:lncRNA from 1 species